rnacentral:rRNA from 1 species
GAUGAACGCUGGCGGCGUGCUUAACACAUGCAAGUCGAACGAUGAAGCCCAGCUUGCUGGGUGGAUUAGUGGCGAACGGGUGAGUAACACGUGAGUAACCUGCCCUUAACUCUGGGAUAAGCCUGGGAAACUGGGACUAAUACCGGAUAGGAGCGUCCACCGCAUGGUGGGUGUUGGAAAGAUUUAUCGGUUUUGGAUGGACUCGCGGCCUAUCAGCUUGUUGGUGAGGUAAUGGCUCACCAAGGCGACGACGGGUGGCCGGCCUGAGAGGGGGACCGGCCACGCUGGGACUGAUACACGGCCCAGACUCCUACGGGAGGCAGCAGUGGGGAAUAUUGCACAAUGGGCGCAAGCCUGAUGCAGCGACGCCGCGUGAGUGGUGACGGCCUUCGGGUUGUAAACCUCUUUCAGUAGGGAAGAAGCGAAAGUGACGGUACCUGCAGAAGAAGCACCGGCUAACUACGUG